CAACAGGUGUUAAACAGUUUAGAUCAGUAGAUGGUUUUUGUCGGCAGUGGAUGUUUGGGUCUUUAUGGUUUAAAAUGAAAUGAAGACACACGGAGCAGGACAAGAUGGACUGUGUUUGUCUUAGCGUUGAUGUCUCACAAGCUCUCACAACACAAAUGUCACCUGACAGAAGUAAAACCAAAGAGGAAAAUCAAACUAGUGAGAACUGUGACAGAAGAACGUUACCAGUCAAAUCAUCUAAAAUGUAGACCUUAUCAAUCUGCUUUCAUCUACCUACAUGAUGUUCUCAACCCUGAAGAGACAGGAAGUUAACCUUUUCAGAUCCCUGGUGGAAGAGCAUGGUUCACCGUGUUUAGAAAUGGAAGAUCUUUGUUACUGUUUGCUUAGAAAUGGAGUCAACAAACGACUCUCUCCUAGCGCAGAACGAAUUCCAACACUCAAGAAAAUGCAAAAAUCUUCCAUUUUGACCCUUCAGCAGUUGGAUGUCAAAACCCCAGUGGUUUUCUGUUGACGUUUGAGCCUGGAGAAGUUCGGAACCCUGUUUAAAAUGAUGCUGAUGUCCUCGUGUGACAUGUAGAGAAAUAGAGAA